GUUCCUUCUUCACUUUUAGGUUUUGGCCACCUUACUUUCCCCUUUUACAAGUUCACACAUCUACCUUCUCCCUCAUCUUCUCUCUGCUCUCUCACACCUCCGGUCGCCGGAGGAGGGAUUCCGGCGCCGGUAUACCCGGUCAGGCGACACGCACACACCCCCAACACUCUUCUCGACACCUCCACCCCCUUCGUUUUCACUCUCUCGCACACUGUUUUCGGCUGGAGAGCGGCGGAGCCGACGGUGCUCCGGCAACGGCGUACCGGCGAUGGUGGAUUUGACGGUGGUUCAGUGGUGAACACUCUUCAAAUAGACCCUUCUGAACCUACUUCCGGCGCCUGCUUUCCGAUUGGAUCAAUGGGGGUGUAUUCUUUUUGACGCUGAUGGCCGUGGUUCAUAGGAGCUUCACUCCGGUGGUGACUGACGAACGACGGCGGUGCUAAAUCCGCUGGAAUCAACCACGGCAGCCAUGAUCUUCGAGCUUUCUCACCCCGAUUGUUCCUUAGAUGCUUUGCCAGCCAAAUCACAAACUGUAACAGCCCGUCGGAGAUUCGAAUAAACCCGCAUCGCCGCAUCAUAAACCCGCAUCGCCGUUCUUCGACUUCACAGGCCAAAUUGCGUUUACGGCUGGCGUUUCUAAUUUGUCAGUUCUGCUUUUACUUUGUUGUCUCUUUCGUCAGGUGCAAUUGUAUACGUUUGUGGGUUGUCGCCGUUUCGUAGCUUCUUCCUGGGGUGCAUUUCGUCCGACAUUGUUUUCUCUCUUAGGUUUGUGGGUAACUCUUUUUUCAUGAAGAAAAGUGUUGUCUUCUGUGUACUAGGAUUACAAAGAUCCUAAAGGUGUUGACAGGCAACAUCACACGAUGUGGUCUCUGAUUGUUGAGGCUCGACUUUGGUCCUGGCAUCAUGAUCCUUAAAAAAACCAAAAAGAUAGCCGCACCAGCCUGUUCAACUCUCCAAGGCAAGUAAUUUAACUUUGUAAUAGACCAGGCUCGGAACAUGCUUCAAAACAGGAAAUCAGCUUGGUCAACCCACUACAACUUUCAGCACUUUAUAUUUAGUACAUCAACUAUCCCAAUGUAACACAGAUAACUGAUAACUUCCUGGUAACAUAAAACCUUACCCGCCGCGAAGCGCG
rnacentral:lncRNA from 1 species